AUACGGAGGAUCCGAGCGUUAUCCGGAUUUAUUGGGUUUAAAGGGUGCGCAGGCGGCCAUUUAAGUCAGCGGUUAAAUCGUGGGGCUCAACCCCAUUCUGCCGUUGAUACUGGGUGGCUUGAUUGCGGUCGAGGUUGGCGGAAUUCGUUGUGUAGCGGUGAAAUGCAUAGAUAUGACGAAGAACACCGAUUGCGUAGGCAGCUGACCAGACCGCAAAUGACGCUCAUGCACGAAAGUGCGGGGAUCGAACAGGAUUAGAUACCCUGGUAGUCCGCACAGUAAACGAUGAAUACUUGUUUUCGGCGAUAUAAUGUCGGAGGCAAAGCGAAAGCGAUAAGUAUUCCACCUGGGGAGUACGCCGGCAACGGCGAAACUCAAAGGAAUUGACGG
rnacentral:rRNA from 1 species